AGCAAUGCCCCUAGAGCGGCGGACUGGUGAGUAACGCGUGGGUGAUCUACCUUGGGCUUGGGGAUAGCCAUUAGAAAUAGUGGGUAAUACCGGAUACGUUCGUUGCCGUGAGGGUANCNNNNAAAGGUGCUACGGCNNNNNCNNNGAGAUGAGCCUGCGUCCCAUUAGCUAGUUGGUGAGGUAACGGCCACCAAGGCGAUGAUGGGUAGCCGGCCUGAGAGGGUGUACGGCCACACUGGGACUGAGAUACGGCCCAGACUCCUACGGGAGGCAGCAGCUAAGAAUACUCCGCAAUGGACGAAAGUCUGACGGAGCGACGCCGCGUGGAUGAUGAAGGCCGAAAGGUUGUAAAGUCCUUUUGCUGGGGAAGAAUAAGCGUGGGAGGGAAUGCCCGCGUGAUGACAUGAACCGGCGAAUAAGCCCCGGCUAACUCCGUGCCAGCAGCCGCGGUAAUACGGAGGAUGCAAGCGUUAUCCGGAUUCAUUAGGUAUAAAGGGUGCGUAGGCGGAUUAAUAAGUCAGUGGUGAAAUACUACAGCUCAACUGUAGAACUGCCAUUGAUACUGUUAGUCUUGAGUACAAUUGAGGUAGGCGGAAUGUGUGGUGUAGCGGUGAAAUGCUUAGAUAUCACACAGAACACCGAUUGCGAAGGCAGCUUACUAAACUGUAACUGACGCUGAUGCACGAAAGCAUGGGGAGCAAACAGGAUUAGAUACCCUGGUAGUCCAUGCUGUAAACGAUGAUCACUCGCUGUAUGUCCAUUAGGAUAUGUGGCUGAGCUAACGCAUUAAGUGAUCCACCUGGGGAGUACGGCGGCAACGCUGAAACUCAAAGGAAUUGACGGGGGCCCGCACAAGCGGAGGAACAUGUGGUUUAAUNNGAUGAUACGCGAGGAACCUUACCCGGG
rnacentral:rRNA from 1 species